rnacentral:rRNA from 1 species
GCUCAGUGUGUUUAAUAAAUAGCCGCGGUAAUUUGACUGUGCAAAGGUAGCAUAAUCAUUAGUUUUUUAAUUGGGGGCUGGAAUGAAUGGUUUGACGGGGGAAUUCUUAUGUUUUUUUUUAAUUUUUGAAUUUAAGUUUUCUGUGAGGACGCAGAGAUGUUUUUAUGUGACGAGAAGACCCCAUAAAGCUUUAUAUAGUGUAUUAAUUUUUUGAUGUUUUUAUUUUAUUGGGGCAAUAUGUGUAUUUAAAUAAUAUAAAUUUAAGGAAUAUCUUUUUAGCCUAAUUUGGUGAUCCAAUUUUUUUUGACAGUGAGGUAAGUUACUUUGGGGAUAACAGCGUAAUCAUUUUGGAGAGUACUUAUUGAUGAGGUGGUUUGCGACCUCGAUGUUGAAUUAAGAAGUCUUUUAGCUGUAGCUGGUUAUUUAGGGGGUCUGUUCGACCUUUAAAUUCUUACA